rnacentral:rRNA from 1 species
CAGCAGCCACGGGAAUACGGAGGGUGCAAGCGUUAUCCGGAUUCACUGGGUUUAAAGGGUGCGUAGGCGGGCAGGUAAGUCAGUGGUGAAAUCUUCGAGCUUAACUCGGAAACUGCCGUUGAUACUAUCUGUCUUGAAUAACGUUGAGGUGAGCGGAAUAUGUCAUGUAGCGGUGAAAUGCUUAGAUAUGACAUAGAACACCGAUUGCGAAGGCAGCUCACUAAACGCUCAUUGACGCUGAGGCACGAAAGCGUGGGGAUCAAACAGGAUUAGAGACCCCUGUAGUCCCUGUCUCUUAUAC